UUCGGCCACCGGAGCUAGGCGAGGAAGGAGUGGGCCGCGGCCGCGGAGGCUCAACUUCACGUCUUCUGUAUGUAUGUCCUCUCUAAUGCCAUUCAUUAAUGUGAAUUUGCUAGUAUCUGAAUUGGAUUAGAGUCGCAGCACAUGAACUGUAUGUGAGCCUAUGGAUCCGUUAUGUUGUGAUGUGCAAAAUUCGAUGAGAUAUCUUCCAGCUCCCUUUGCUCUGACUGAGCAUCGAAGUUUCUCUGUACUCUAUAUUGCCUGAGUAUGGAAGUUCAGCACAUAAGGUGCAUACCCCUGCUUGGCGUAUUUCUAGGCUGUAUAUUCAUGCAUCCAAGGUUUGGUCCUCAGAUAAGAGAGCUUCAGUAACAAAAACAUUGUUUAUGAUCUUGUUUUUGUUGCGAAGUCCUGCUGUAAUGAUGCUUCGAGGUAAGAUAUGGAUAAUGCUAUAUUGACCAUAUGCGAUAUGGCAUAAGAAUUAUGUUUUUUCCAUUAAUAAUUUACACUUAAUGCAGGUUGACAUUCUGACUGUUCAAUACAGUUAUCCUCAGGGAGAUAAUCUCAAAAUCUUCACAUUUCACAUCAAAUGACUCCAACCAUGAUGACUAAUAACAUAAAUGGUGGUGCACAGUGGUUUGAUGUGAAAUACACGCCAAUGAUAUGGAAAAACAACUCCAAUGGGAAACAAACCAAACAUAUUGUAGAUGAUUGGAAAGAAACAAGUACAGUUUUAGCUGCACUAGAGUGGAUUGAAUCCUGGAUAUUUCUCGGAUUGUCGAGAGAGUGUGCUGGCAGGCAUUUAACUCCUCACAGCAAACCCCGGCAGAAGGUUCCUCAACCCCAAAGGCUAGGAUAGUGUCAGGCCCUUCUUUGGGUGAUCAGCAGCAAGGCAACUUUCUGUUAACUUGUGGAAGGCUGCCUUUCACGACGAGUUCAGCAGAAUUUGCCCCCUUCGUGCUGGUGGGCAUGAGUGACUGUUUGCAAUGUUUAAUGCCGCUCUUCGUUUCAAAAGAAUAGACAUCUUUCAUUAUUGCUACUGUAACAUGUAUUUGACUUGUUCUGCUAGCAAUGUGUAACCAGUUUAGAUGUUGCAAUGUUUAAUGUCGUCCUUCGUGAAUCAGCUAGCGAGAUACCAGCUGAUCCUAUAGGAUAGUUAUGAUGGGUGGAAUGAUGCUGCCCCUUUUGGUGCCUA